AACGAACGCUGGCGGCAGGCCUAACACAUGCAAGUCGAACGGGCUUUUAAUUUAGCUUGCUAAGUUAAAAGCUAGUGGCAGACGGGUGAGUAAUGCAUGGGAAUCUGCCUAGAAGUUGAGAAUAACUGUUAGAAAUAGCAGCUAAUACUCAUUAAUACCCUGAGGGGGAAAGUUGAAUUUAUACGUUUAAUCUACGCAGCUUUUUAGUAAUCUGCGAAGACUAAACGCUAUACGUCCUUCGCUCUUAGAUGAGCCCAUGUUAGAUUAGCUAGUUGGUGAGGUAACGGCUCACCAAGGCUAUGAUCUAUAGCUGGUUUGAGAAGAUGAUCAGCCACACUGGAACUGAGACACGGUCCAG
rnacentral:rRNA from 1 species